UUCGCAUUAAUUACCUUGCCCCUCAUGAGGACUCAGGGGCAGUGCUCCCCUAAGGGUCUCUUGUACGUAGUGUUGCCAGAUGUUUAUGCAUGAGGGGGGGGGGGUAUAUUAAAAAAA